AGAUGGUGCCACUGCACUCCAGCCUGGGCGACAGAGUGAAGACUCCGCCUCAAAAAAAAAAAAAAAAGAUCUUAAAAACACCAAUUUUUAGGUAGUUGUUAGCAAAAGAAAAAAUAUAUAUAUAUAUAUAUAUAUGUUUAACUGUUUUCUUCAGACCUGAAGCAAUAUUUAAAUAUAUUCACAUUUAGAAGUUUUAAACAGUUCCUUGAAAAGCCAAGGCUGAGCCAGAAAUCAGACAGAGCUUUUACGAGGCAUAAGGAGGAGCAUGUGGGCAGAACCCCCUGUGAGUGCAGGAGCUGGGCCACCUGCAGGAAAACUGCCCAGUCCACUCUGCAGAGAAGGAUUGGAGCAUUUUCCACACCAGCCUGCCAGGGACACACCUGACUGCACAAAGAUCCAUCUAAAAUCACCCACAUUCGACUCACAGAAGGUGGUAUUUUCACAGCUUCAUCUUUCCUCAGUUGGUAAUCAAAUGUAAGAAGAGCUUUUAUUUUUAUAGGAAUGAUUUAGCUUAUGGAGUACCAGUCUAAUCCUUUUCCUUCCUCUGUCUUUUUAACCAAGCAUAGAAUGAGGAGACCAAUAUAUAUGAUCUAAUACUUGCUUAUGCUGGACAAGAAUUGAUGUCAUUCACUCAUCUCCUUUUCAUUAAAACCUAGUGAGAUUGGCGGCAAUGGUGGGAAGCAGAUGGAUGAGCAUAAAUUUCAAAUGUGUGUUUAGAAAAAUUGAAAGGAUUGGUAGGAAAGAUAUUAAGUAGGCAGUGUGGUCGGGGGUUGAACCUGUGAGUUCAACAGCAGGCGCUUGUAGCAUAAAAUAUAGUAGUGCUUCCAGCCACCUCUGACUUAGGGAUGUCUAAGAGAUGAGGAGGGAAAGUGCCGGGGUCUCCUUUCUUGUGUUUUAUGCAUUUUGAAGUUACUAAAGCAUAAGAAUUUAUUCUGGAAUUUUUACUCAAGCUUAAGAUAAAAACUAUGACCUUUGUGUGAACAUUGCUGCUUCACCUCCCUCUCCUAACUCUACUUUUAUUUACUAUUCCAUAUCCAGUGUCUAGCAGCGUACUCAUCAAACAGUAAGUGCUCAGUACAUAUUUGUUGAAUGAAUAAAUAAGUGGAUUCUGGCACUUAAUUAUAAGAGCUUUUUGGAAGAUGAAAAGAUUCUUAAGCAAAAUGAUGUAAAGAUAAAAGAAGCUUAUUUCCAGUCCCCUUCCUCCCUUGACUCUGCCAGCCCCCUUCAGUACAUGCCUUACUGGCACCUCUCCUGGAUUUAGCUUUAAAAGUUCGGGAGGAGUGAAGGUGUGUGUCGUCAUAUUACUAAAAGAAAAACCCUAGUGUUGUGUAACAAGUGUUUCACGGGCUCUUUCAUAAUAAACAUAAUAUUAGACGCAGCCAAAAUAAGUUCAUUUUGAAUUAAUAAUCCAAUAUUUCACAGUGCUGGUUUGAGGUACAGAUCUAGGCCUUGUGUGCAACAGAAUACAAUUUUAGAAGUAGAGUAAAAAGUUUCAUCCACUAAGCUGUUUCUCAUUGGCCUGCAGUCUGAUUUCUUUCAAAGUUUUGGAGUUUAACACGAACUUAGGCGUUCAGCUAAUAAUAAGAUUAAGGGUGUUUGUGGGCAAACUAAAUAUAAUUUAUAUCCCUUAAUUUUGAGCUCAUAAUAUUUCUGCUCUGGGUAUAUAAGAGAUAUCACAGAAGAAAAAUCUCAGAGUGAGAUAAUUUGUAAAGUAAUAAGUAGGUUUUUGUUUUGUUUUGUUUUUUGUUUUUUUUAAGGAAGCACACUGGUGUAGUGAUUAGGUUUUUGACUUUGCAUCAUAGAGACCUGCAGUUGAUUAUUUUACCAACCUCACUACUGUUUUCUCUCAACCCUCCAAAUCUUUAUUUCUUCACCUGGAAACUGGGAAUAGUAACAGUACUUUCCUCAGAGACUCAUUAAUUAGAUAAUUCAUGUAAAACACCCAGAACAGUGCUACAUAAUAGUGUUCAUGCCAGUUAUGAUUAAGCCUAUGCUACUGGGCCAAAGAGCCCCCAAAAUACAGUGAAUUAAGGGGCACACAACUUUUUUUAUAUUGCUCAUAUAAAAGGGUAAGUAUUUCAGGCUUGCAAAGAGUCAUGUUCUUUGCAGAAAUUCAGGGACCCAGAUUUCUUCCAUCUUGUUGCUCCCUGCUUCCUACAUCUCAGGGUUCAUCUACAUAGUCAAAGAUAGGUGGUCGGUAGUUCUGUGUCCCAGCUUGAGGGGACAGGAAGAAGUGUGGAGGCAGCAUUCCCAAUGUCUUUAUGCUCAGACCUAGAAAAGCCACACAUCCUUGCCAUGUACUUUGCAUUGGGGAGAAUUAAGUCACGUGGCCGCCCACAUCUGGCUGCCAGAGAGACUGAGUAGUGUAAUUUCUACCUGGAUGACCAUGUGCUCAGUUACAAUUCAUUCAUUGUGGAAGAACAGAAGAACAGAUUUGGGUGAGCAGGUAAUGGUCUGCCCCAUGGUGCUUAAUAAAUGCAACCAUUAUUUAUUUAUUUAUUCAAAAUAACAUUUCAAGUAAUGGUCUAAAUGUCUUCGUUCUAGGGGAGGAGGAAUCGAAGAGCUUCUGUAACACACAAUCUGUGCUACAUACCACGUAUCUCUCAUAAGCGUUAUUAUUUUUUGGAAGGGAGCCCUUUAAGUAUUGAACUACAAAUCAAGGUAAACCUUGAGGGAGAAAAGAAAGAGUGGAUAAAAAGCAGUAGAAGGGAUGGGAACGUGUUAAAAGGAGUGAAUGCUAAUUAGCUGUAUGCUCUUCCUUCCUCUCAGCCAGCCAUCUGGGCAACAAGAAAGGCUUGCUAAAGUUAAAUAAAUUUAACCCCUUAUCUGACCUGGCAAGGACAAAGUACACUGGCUUCUGAAGAAACUUUUUCUUGGGAGCAAGAUAAACUUUGUCCCAUGUAAAGAGGAAAACUACAUAGAUAUUCAUGGAGAUUAUCUGAUUUGUCACUGUUGCCAAAGAAAAAACAAAGGUAAAAUACAUGAAUUUCUGCGUUCAGAAGAAAGUACUUAAGGUAAAAAUUAACUACUAAGCAACUUUUCUCAACAGAAGAAAUGCCCAAAUUCUUAAGGACAGCCAAGUUGUGAGUCAGAGAGCUAGUGUUAAAACAGGUAUUUUUAAAUAGAUGUAUGAAUUACCUCCUUACAUUACUUUAUUCUUGUGUUUUUAGCAACUGCCAAAAACAGUUAUAAGAAAUGAAAUAAUGUCCUGAGCUGCCACAUGAUAUUUUUUAAAAUCUGCAAUUUUAUUCUUGACAAGUAACAUACACUACAUGCUUUUGUGUGCAAGUAAUGCUCAGAUGUUUGAUAACGGAGUGAUCUUAAAGAGGAGGCAUCUGUUUUUUGUUUUUAUAAGUAGUUCAUUGCCCAACUACCGAAAAUAGCUGCAGUUAUUUUAAACAGAUGGUCCCAAGUUAAUAGGGAAGAAAGUAGAAGUGAGUCUAUUUCCCCAGUUUUUAUUUUUACCCCACAAGAAUGGUAAAAAUAAUUAACAGUAUAUAAUUUGAAACAAAUUCUGUCAAAAUGCUUUUUUCUAAGGUACCCUUUCUGAGAGAGGGGGGUUUGUAAAUUGAAGUAUUUGAUGUGGUAGAGUUGAAAGCCAGUGUAACGCUUAAAUUUCUACUUUCUGAUAGCGUUCAUCAAAAUGAUUGCUGCAUUGUUGAAACAGAGCUUUUGAUUUUUAAAAGACAAUUAGAUUGUGGUAAGAUAUAUGAAACCCACCAAAACUGACUUCAAAAAUUUGGAAGUCUUAAGAGGGUGGUAAGUGGUGGUGGUGACAUGUUAAGAGUAGGAUCUUGCCAGAUGAUGAGAAAGAAUAUGGGUUGAUGACAUUAAUAUGUUUAUGAUUUCUGAAUUCCUCAGGAGUCCUAAGUUAAUAGUUGAUAACCUACUCUCUAGUUUCUGACACCGAAGAUAAUGAAUAUUUUGAUAAUGCAACAAUGAAUUUGUGUUUAUAAGGGACUCUGAAGAAUGCGUUUGUGUGGUAUACAGAUGCUGUUACUAUACCUCAGUUUGAGCAGAUUACAGUAGUAAGCUGGGCCCAGCUACUAUUGUAUAUCGCUCUCCAUCUGUAAAGAAGAUGAAUAGGUGAAGUUUUUCACUUCUGAAAUACUAGGUUGUUAAAGCUUACUGAGAUUUUUACUUUCUGUUAGUGAUAGCUGUACCUUUUUCAUGUCUGGGCUAUAUUUCCAUGUAUAUGUCCACAAAAUACCUGCAGUUCUUUGAUUUUGAAUUUUGCAUUUUCUUUACUGUUUCAGUGACUACGCACAACUCGUAGCUCUUGGGCAUUUGUGGACUGUGGGCUGUAAGCCUGCCUACAUAGAAUCUUUCAGUUUUGCUUCUGUCCAAAUUUGUCUACAUGAUAAAUACCAGACUGGCUCAUAUGAAAUGAUAAAAUCGUAGACCAGGGGUAGCAAACUAUGGCCUGUGGGCCUGAUACUGUUUAAGAAGGUUCUUCACAUUUACAAAGGUUUUUUUUUUUUUU